rnacentral:rRNA from 1 species
UACGGGGGGGGUAAGCGUUGUUCGGAAUUACUGGGCGUAAAGGACUCGUAGGCGGCCAACUAAGUCGGACGUGAAAUCCCUCAGCUUAACUGGGGAACUGCGUCUGAUACUGGAUGGCUUGGAUUUGGGAGAGGGAUGCGGAAUUCCAGGUGUAGCGGUGAAAUGCGUAGAUAUCUGGAGGAACACCGGUGGCGAAGGCGGCAUCCUGGACCAACAUUGACGCUGAGGAGCGAAAGCCAGGGGAGCAAACGGG